AGUGAACGCUGGCGGUAGGCCUAACACAUGCAAGUCGAACGGCAGCACAGUAAGAGCUUGCUCUUACGGGUGGCGAGUGGCGGACGGGUGAGGAAUACAUCGGAAUCUACUUUUUCGUGGGGGAUAACGUAGGGAAACUUACGCUAAUACCGCAUACGACCUACGGGUGAAAGCAGGGGAUCUUCGGACCUUGCGCGAUUGAAUGAGCCGAUGUCGGAUUAGCUAGUUGGCGGGGUAAAUGCCCACCAAGGCGACGAUCCGUAGCUGGUCUGAGAGGAUGAUCAGCCACACUGGAACUGAGCCACGGUCCAGACUCCUACGGGAGGCAGCAGUGGGGAAUAUUGGACAAUGGGCGCAAGCCUGAUCCAGCCAUCCCGCGUGGGUGAAGAAGGCCUUCGGGUUGUAAAGCCCUUUUGUUGUGAAAGAAAAGCAGCAGGUUAAUACCCCGCUGUUCUGACGGUACCCAAAGAAUAAGCACCGGCUAACUUCGUG
rnacentral:rRNA from 1 species